rnacentral:rRNA from 1 species
AUGCUCCUUUUGCGGGGGCGGGAGACAUCACAUCACUUGUUUUUUACUUGUCCUGUUGCUAGGGUGACCUGGAGAACAGUGGCAUGCAUGUUCGGCACUGCAUUGUGUCCUGACAGUAUUUGGCAGGCUUAUGUGUGGUGCUUUACCUUUUUCCCUGGUGGAGAAGAGCUUUACACAGCAGGGAUUGCGGCUGUGUGUUGGGCGAUAUGGUCUUGUCGUAACAGAGCUACUUUCGAAUUCAAACCGCUUAAAACCCCGUUUGAAUGCAUCUUUUCUGCUUGUGCUUUAAUGUGUUACUGGGCAAGGCUGCUGAAGCAAGAAGGCGCGGCGACCAUGAGGGAUGGGGCAAAGAUGCUGAAGGAGAACGCAUCGAUGAUGAUGAGAAUCUGCGCGACAAGUCAAGAGGGAGCGGCGCGCUGA